GUCUCACAGUUUGAUCCUGGCUCAGAUUGAACGCUGGCGGCAUGCUUUACACAUGCAAGUCGAACGGCAGCACGGGGGCGAACCCUGGUGGCGAGUGGCGAACGGGUGAGUAAUACAUCGGAACGUAUCCUUAAGUGGGGGGAUAACGCACCGAAAGGUGUGCUAAUACCGCAUAAUCUCCAAGGAGAAAAGCAGGGGAUCGCAAGACCUUGCGCUAAUAGAUGAGCCCAAGCCGGAUUAGCUAGUUGGUAGGGUAACGGCCUACCAAGGCUACGAUCCGUAACUGGUCUGAGAGGACGACCAGUCACACCGGAACUGAGACACGGUCCGGACUCC
rnacentral:rRNA from 1 species